AGAUUAAGUUAUUAAGGGCGCACGGUGGAUGCCUUGGCACUAGAAGCCGAUGAAGGACGUUACUAACGACGAUAUGCUUUGGGGAGCUGUAAGUAAGCUUUGAUCCAGAGAUUUCCGAAUGGGGAAACCCAGCAUGAGUUAUGUCAUGUUAUCGAUAUGUGAAUACAUAGCAUAUCAGAAGGCACACCCGGAGAACUGAAACAUCUUAGUACCCGGAGGAAGAGAAAGAAAAUUCGAUUCCCUUAGUAGCGGCGAGCGAAACGGGAAGAGCCCAAACCAACAAGCUUGCUUGUUGGGGUUGUAGGACACUCUAUACGGAGUUACAAAGGACGACAUUAGACGAAUCAUCUGGAAAGAUGAAUCAAAGAAGGUAAUAAUCCUGUAGUCGAAAAUGUUGUCUCUCUUGAGUGGAUCCUGAGUACGACGGAGCACGUGAAAUUCCGUCGGAAUCUGGGAGGACCAUCUCCUAAGGCUAAAUACUCUCUAGUGACCGAUAGUGAACCAGUACCGUGAGGGAAAGGUGAAAAGCACCCCGGAAGGAGAGUGAAAUAGAACCUGAAACCGUGUGCUUACAAGUAGUCAGAGCCCGUUAAUGGGUGAUGGCGUGCCUUUUGUAGAAUGAACCGGCGAGUUACGAUUUGAUGCAAGGUUAAGCAGUAAAUGUGGAGCCGUAGCGAAAGCGAGUCUGAAUAGGGCGUUUAGUAUUUGGUCGUAGACCCGAAACCAGGUGAUCUACCCUUGGUCAGGUUGAAGUUCAGGUAACACUGAAUGGAGGACCGAACCGACUUACGUUGAAAAGUGAGCGGAUGAACUGAGGGGAGAGGAGAAAGGAAAAGAGAAAAGGGAGAGAGCGGGUUCGCUCCGUUAUCGCUUUUUUUCUCUCCUCCCCUCUUUCUUUUUCCAAGUAGAGCACUGUUUGGACGAGGGGCCCCUCUCGGGUUACCGAAUUCAGACAAACUCCGAAUGC
rnacentral:rRNA from 1 species